GUCUGCGGCCAUACCACCCUGAACACUGGCCAAUCUCGUCUGAUCUGAGGGUCUAAGCAGGGUCAGGCCUCAUUAGUACUUGGGUGGAAGAAAGUUUAGUUAUUAGUGCCCACAAAAAGAACCCAAGUGCUUUGCACA
rnacentral:rRNA from 1 species